GCUGGGAUAAUGUCACCUAACUGUAGCAUAUAUAUAUAUGAAAACAGCAAGGGACCUAGAAUGGAUCCCUGUGGAACAUCGCAGACUACUUCUGAUAACAAUGAGCCGAAACCAGAAAGAUAAGAUCUGAACCAGGAUAGAACAAGACCAGACAGUCACACUGUGCUUUCAAGAUGAUUCACUAGGAUGGAACGGUCUGCAGAACCAAAGGCAGCAAUCAAAUCAAGAAUAAUUAAUACUGGUGGAAAACCUGAAUCAGAGUUUAUCAGCAGAUCAUGUCGAACUAGCUCGGUAAGUUUCUGUGAGGUCAUCAAUGCAAAAGCUCCCAUAGGAGCCUUAACAGAAGUAGUUGGAAACAUUCUGCCAAAGUCCUUAAUAGGUGUCUGUGGAAUCUCAUUUCAGAUGUCUACUACUUUACUUUUAAAGAAAUGUAAGAAGAGUGAGAGGAGGUGUCAAGGAGUGAAGUUUUUGUCAGUCAAAGAGGACAGCAUGCUUCUAGCAGUUAGUGCCUUCAUACUUAACUACACCACCUGGGACCAGGUACUCGAGGAGUUAAGAUGUAUAACUGGAAUUAAUGGAGCAAGCAUCUCUGACUUCUCGCACAUUAUAUUAAAACAGAUUAUGGGAAACGGAACACCUUUAAAAUCCCUCUGAAAUAGAACAAACUCUGUUUCAACCUGAUGAGAUGCAUAAAGUGAUUGAACAAACUGCCUGCACUACAUUGUUAAAAUGUUAGGGAUUUACAGUGGGCUACACAAAUAUGAAUUUGAAUCAAAUUGAAUCAAAUGUAUUAUCUGCUCUGUGAUCAGUCCGUGGUACAGCAAGAUCCAUUUAUGCAUGCAAUGGAGCUGGACAUUCUUAACUUACCUGUAGCAUCUGCUUUAUUACACUUAGUCUCGUCAGUUUAUUUUUAUUUUUUUGCUGAAAAUGUACAGGUAGUGCAAUACCUACCUAAAUGUACUGCUGUAAUGUAAAGUAGAUUAAAUAUAUCCCUGCAAAAGUAUGAU